GGGAGCUUGCUCCCUGAUGUUAGCGGCGGACGGGUGAGUAACACGUGGGUAACCUGCCUGUAAGACUGGGAUAACUCCGGGAAACCGGGGCUAAUACCGGAUGGUUGUUUGAACCGCAUGGUUCAGACAUAAAAGGUGGCUUCGGCUACCACUUACAGAUGGACCCGCGGCGCAUUAGCUAGUUGGUGAGGUAACGGCUCACCAAGGCAACGAUGCGUAGCCGACCUGAGAGGGUGAUCGGCCACACUGGGACUGAGACACGGCCCAGACUCCUACGGGAGGCAGCAGUAGGGAAUCUUCCGCAAUGGACGAAAGUCUGACGGAGCAACGCCGCGUGAGUGAUGAAGGUUUUCGGAUCGUAAAGCUCUGUUGUUAGGGAAGAACAAGUGCCGUUCAAAUAGGGCGGCACCUUGACGGUACCUAACCAGAAAGCCACGGCUAACUACGUGCCAGCAGCCGCGGUAAUACGUAGGUGGCAAGCGUUGUCCGGAAUUAUUGGGCGUAAAGGGCUCGCAGGCGGUUUCUUAAGUCUGAUGUGAAAGCCCCCGGCUCAACCGGGGAGGGUCAUUGGAAACUGGGGAACUUGAGUGCAGAAGAGGAGAGUGGAAUUCCACGUGUAGCGGUGAAAUGCGUAGAGAUGUGGAGGAACACCAGUGGCGAAGGCGACUCUCUGGUCUGUAACUGACGCUGAGGAGCGAAAGCGUGGGGAGCGAACAGGAUUAGAUACCCUGGUAGUCCACGCCGUAAACGAUGAGUGCUAAGUGUUAGGGGGUUUCCGCCCCUUAGUGCUGCAGCUAACGCAUUAAGCACUCCGCCUGGGGGAGUACGGUCGCAAGACUGAAACUCAAAGGAAUUGACGGGGGGCCCCGCACAAGCGGUGGAGCAUGUGGUUUAAUUC
rnacentral:rRNA from 1 species